rnacentral:ncRNA from 24 species
ACUAAAUACUUAUUGUCAGGUGACGUAUGUCUUAAUAGAUAAGUUGGGUGUAAUUCCUACACGAUCCCGUCGCUGUAAAAGUGAGCGAAUCCAAACUAAUGCCACUGGAAAUAUCUGGGAAGGCUUGGAUAAGCUAUGAACUUAAGUCAGAAGAACUGCCUGAUGAUUACUUUACUAC